CGGCGGACGGGUGGAGUAAUGCCUAGGAAUCUGCCUGGUAGUGGGGGACGAACGUUUCGAAAGGAACGCUAAUACCGCAUACGUCCUACGGGAGAAAGCAGGGGACCUUCGGGCCUUGCGCUAUCAGAUGAGCCUAGGUCGGAUUAGCUAGUUGGUGAGGUAAUGGCCCACCAAGGCGACGAUCCGUAGCUGGUCUGAGAGGAUGAUCAGCCACACUGGAACUGAGACACGGUCCAGACUCCUACGGGAGGCAGCAGCU
rnacentral:rRNA from 1 species